rnacentral:rRNA from 1 species
UACAGAGGGGGCAAGCGUUGUUCGGAAUUACUGGGCGUAAAGGGCGCGUAGGCGGCCUGUUAAGUCGAACGUGAAAUCCCCGGGCUCAACCCGGGAACUGCGUCCGAUACUGGUAGGCUUGAAUCCGGGAGAGGGAUGUGGAAUUCCAGGUGUAGCGGUGAAAUGCGUAGAUAUCUGGAGGAACACCGGUGGCGAAGGCGGCAUCCUGGACCGGAAUUGACGCUGAGGCGCGAAAGCCAGGGGAGCAAACGGG